AGCAGCACAGGCAGACUUCACACCCGUUUCCAGUUUGUCACUGAAUGGUUGCAUGAGCCUGAAGCAGCAAACAGCCACAUAGAUACAAGUCACAGCCCAGAGCCUAAUUUCCUGGGAAUUAAAUGGGCCAAACCGAGUCAGGCAUUCACCAAGUUUAAAAUUACCCCCUGAAGACUGAGAAUGGAAGAACAGAGAACACAUGGAAAUGCUACUUAGAUAAAUGGAAACAAACCGUCUGACCAGAGCAGUGUUUUUGUAAUUUGCUAGAAAUACAUCACUACUUUAAUGUUGGUAAACGGAUGAAACAGACUAGGACUGACUAAGAGAGGCAGAACUGACAUUAGAGCACAGGGAAAGGCGUGAUGCUCUCAGGAAUGAUCAGAAAUGGCAAAUUGGAAAGAAAGCUCCAAGGACACCAGUUUUGUAACAAUAGAAAGACUAUUUGCUCCCUGCAUGUCCAUGGAUGCACACCCAGUUUGGAUGCCACUGCCUGGGAGCAUGCGUGGCUUUUGUCUUGUGUCACUCCUGUCCUGAGUCUUGUCAUAUACUUUGGGAGCUGGCAAGGACUCACUCACAGGACAUCGUCCUCCUGUUAAGGAGAUAUGUCAGCUCUGACGCAGAAAUGUGGCUGGAGCUUGUGGGGCAGUUCAAGACCCUCUGUCCCUUAAACCUUUCAAGAGAUUACUGGCAGGAGAGUUAAAUUGUUCUGCCAGCUAGACCUGAAGAGAGCCCACUGCCAAGCAGCUGGGCUGCACUCCUUGGCUGUGCAGGAGCUCCUCUGGGGACAUGAGUGGCAGUGUGACACCCCGGCACCACGAUGCCAUUUGCAUCAUCAGGUUACUUGCAGG